UUAAGUCCCGCAACGAGCGCAACCCCUCGCUGCCAGUUGCCAACGGGUAGAGCCGGGCACUCUGGCGGGACUGCCAUCGACAAGAUGGAGGAAGGUGGGGAGUGACGUCAAGUCAUCAUGGCCCUUAUGUCCAGGGCGACACACGUGCUACAAUGGCCGGCACAGCGGGAAGCGAGGCAGUGAUGCCAAGCGGAUCCCUUAAAGCCGGUCUCAGUUCGGAUUGAAGUCUGCAACUCGACUUCAUGAAGCUGGAAUCGCUAGUAAUCGCAGAUCAGCCAAGCUGCGGUGAAUACGUUCCCGGGCCUU
rnacentral:rRNA from 1 species